AACCGACGAUACCCGAAUGGGGAAACCCAGUGCAAUUCGUUGCACUAUUGCAUGGUGAAUACAUAGCCAUGCAAGGCGAACCGGGGGAACUGAAACAUCUAAGUACCCCGAGGAAAAGAAAUCAACCGAGAUUCCCCCAGUAGCGGCGAGCGAACGGGGAAGAGCCCAGAGUCUGAAUCAGUUUGUGUGCUAGUGGAAGCGUCUGGAAAGUCGCACGGUACAGGGUGAUAGUCCCGUACACAAAAGCACACUUGCUGUGAACUCGAUGAGUAGGGCGGGACACGUGACAUCCUGUCUGAAUAUGGGGGGACCAUCCUCCAAGGCUAAAUACUCCUGACUGACCGAUAGUGAACCAGUACCGUGAGGGAAAGGCGAAAAGAACCCCGGCGAGGGGAGUGAAAUAGAACCUGAAACCGUGUACGUACAAGCAGUGGGAGCACCUUCGUGGUGUGACUGCGUACCUUUUGUAUAAUGGGUCAGCGACUUAUAUUUUGUAGCAAGGUUAACCGAAUAGGGGAGCCGUAGGGAAACCGAGUCUUAACUGGGCGUCUAGUUGCAAGGUAUAGACCCGAAACCCGGUGAUCUAGCCAUGGGCAGGUUGAAGGUUGGGUAACACUAACUGGAGGACCGAACCGACUAAUGUUGAAAAAUUAGCGGAUGACUUGUGGCUGGGGGUGAAAGGCCAAUCAAACCGGGAGAUAGCUGGUUCUCCCCGAAAGCUAUUUAGGUAGCGCCUCGUGAACUCAUCUUCGGGGGUAGAGCACUGUUUCGGCUAGGGGGCCACCCCGGCUUACCAAACCGAUGCAAACUCCGAAUACCGAAGAAUGUUAUCACGGGAGACACACGGCGGGUGCUAACGUCCGUCGUGAAGAGGGAAACAACCCAGACCGCCAGCUAAGGUCCCAAAGUCAUGGUUAAGUGGGAAACGAUGUGGGAAGGCAUAGACAGCCAGGAUGUUGGCUUAGAAGCAGCCAUCAUUUAAAGAAAGCGUAAUAGCUCACUGGUCGAGUCGGCCUGCGCGGAAGAUGUAACGGGGCUAAACCAUGCACCGAAGCUGCGGCAGCGACACUUAGGUGUUGUUGGGUAGGGGAGCGUUCUGUAAGCCGUUGAAGGUGACCUGUGAGGGUUGCUGGAGGUAUCAGAAGUGCGAAUGCUGACAUAAGUAACGAUAAUGCGGGUGAAAAGCCCGCACGCCGGAAGACCAAGGGUUCCUGUCCAACGUUAAUCGGGGCAGGGUGAGUCGACCCCUAAGGCGAGGCUGAAAAGCGUAGUCGAUGGGAAACAGGUUAAUAUUCCUGUACUUGGUGUUACUGCGAAGGGGGGACGGAGAAGGCUAGGCUAGCCGGGCGACGGUUGUCCCGGUUUAAGCAUGUAGGCGGAGCGACUUGGUAAAUCCGGUUGCUUAUCAACGCUGAGGUGUGAUGACGAGCCACUACGGUGGUGAAGUAGUUGAUGCCAAGCUUCCAGGAAAAGCCUCUAAGCAUCAGGUAACAUUAAAUCGUACCCCAAACCGACACAGGUGGUCAGGUAGAGAAUACUCAGGCGCUUGAGAGAACUCGGGUGAAGGAACUAGGCAAAAUGGUGCCGUAACUUCGGGAGAAGGCACGCUGGCAUUAGGUAAAGAGACUUGCUCUCGGCGCCGAAGCCAGUCGCAGAUACCAGCUGGCUGCAACUGUUUAAUAAAAACACAGCACUGUGCAAACACGAAAGUGGACGUAUACGGUGUGACGCCUGCCCGGUGCUGGAAGGUUAAUUGAUGGGGUCAGCCGCAAGGCGAAGCUCUUGAUCGAAGCCCCAGUAAACGGCGGCCGUAACUAUAACGGUCCUAAGGUAGCGAAAUUCCUUGUCGGGUAAGUUCCGACCUGCACGAAUGGCGUAAUGAUGGCCAGGCUGUCUCCACCCGAGACUCAGUGAAAUUGAACUCGCUGUGAAGAUGCAGUGUACCCGCGGCAAGACGGAAAGACCCCGUGAACCUUUACUAUAGCUUGACACUGAACAUUGAGCCUUGAUGUGUAGGAUAGGUGGGAGGCAUCGAAGUGUGGACGCCAGUCUGCAUGGAGCCAACCUUGAAAUACCACCCUUUAAUGUUUGAUGUUCUAACUCGGCCCCGUGAUCCGGGGUGAGGACAGUGUCUGGUGGGUAGUUUGACUGGGGCGGUCUCCUCCCAAAGAGUAACGGAGGAGCACGAA
rnacentral:rRNA from 1 species